rnacentral:rRNA from 1 species
UGUUGGCUUAGAAGCAGCCAUCAUUUAAAGAAAGCGUAAUAGCUCACUGGUCGAGUCGGCCUGCGCGGAAGAUGUAACGGGGCUAAACCAUGCACCGAAGCUGCGGCAGCGAACGUAUCACCCAAGACAACUUUACGGAGUUGACGAUUGACGGAGCGAAGCGACGUCAAAGCGUUCAUUAAAGUCGAGUUGGCUUAGGGAUACGUUCGUUGGGUAGGGGAGCGUUCUGUAAGCCUGUGAAGGUGUGUCGUGAGGCAUGCUGGAGGUAUCAGAAGUGCGAAUGCUGACAUAAGUAACGAUAAAGCGGGUGAAAAGCCCGCUCGCCGGAAGACCAAGGGUUCCUGUCCAACGUUAAUCGGGGCAGGGUGAGUCGACCCCUAAGGCGAGGCCGAAAGGCGUAGUCGAUGGGAAACGGGUUAAUAUUCCCGUACUUGGUGUUACUGCGAAGGGGGGACGGAGAAGGCUAUGUUGGCCGGGCGACGGUUGUCCCGGUUUAAGCGUGUAGGUGUGUGUUCCAGGUAAAUCCGGUUCACUUUAACACUGAGGCGUGACGACGAGGCACUACGGUGCUGAAGCAACAAAUGCCCUGCUUCCAGGAAAAGCCUCUAAGCAUCAGGUAACAUCAAAUCGUACCCCAAACCGACACAGGUGGUCAGGUAGAGAAUACCAAGGCGCUUGAGAGAACUCGGGUGAAGGAACUAGGCAAAAUGGUGCCGUAACUUCGGGAGAAGGCACGCUGACACGUAGGUGAAGUGAUUUACUCAUGGAGCUGAAGUCAGUCGAAGAUACCAGCUGGCUGCAACUGUUUAUUAAAAACACAGCACUGUGCAAACACGAAAGUGGACGUAUACGGUGUGACGCCUGCCCGGUGCCGGAAGGUUAAUUGAUGGGGUCAGCGCAAGCGAAGCUCCUGAUCGAAGCCCCGGUAAACGGCGGCCGUAACUAUAACGGUCCUAAGGUAGCGAAAUUCCUUGUCGGGUAAGUUCCGACCUGCACGAAUGGCGUAAUGAUGGCCAGGCUGUCUCCACCCGAGACUCAGUGAAAUUGAACUCGCUGUGAAGAUGCAGUGUACCCGCGGCAAGACGGAAAGACCCCGUGAACCUUUACUAUAGCUUGACACUGAACAUUGAGCCUUGAUGUGUAGGAUAGGUGGGAGGCUUUGAAGUGUGGACGCCAGUCUGCAUGGAGCCGACCUUGAAAUACCACCCUUUAAUGUUUGAUGUUCUAACGUGGACCCGUAAUCCGGGUUGCGGACAGUGUCUGGUGGGUAGUUUGACUGGGGCGGUCUCCUCCUAAAGAGUAACGGAGGAGCACGAAGGUUGGCUAAUCCUGGUCGGACAUCAGGAGGUUAGUGCAAUGGCAUAAGCCAGCUUGACUGCGAGCGUGACGGCGCGAGCAGGUGCGAAAGCAGGUCAUAGUGAUCCGGUGGUUCUGAAUGGAAGGGCCAUCGCUCAACGGAUAAAAGGUACUCCGGGGAUAACAGGCUGAUACCGCCCAAGAGUUCAUAUCGACGGCGGUGUUUGGCACCUCGAUGUCGGCUCAUCACAUCCUGGGGCUGAAGUAGGUCCCAAGGGUAUGGCUGUUCGCCAUUUAAAGUGGUACGCGAGCUGGGUUUAGAACGUCGUGAGACAGUUCGGUCCCUAUCUGCCGUGGGCGCUGGAGAACUGAGGGGGGCUGCUCCUAGUACGAGAGGACCGGAGUGGACGCAUCACUGGUGUUCGGGUUGUCAUGCCAAUGGCACUGCCCGGUAGCUAAAUGCGGAAGAGAUAAGUGCUGAAAGCAUCUAAGCACGAAACUUGCCCCGA